GCCUAUGUAAAUUGUUCACCUGACUGUUACGCCACGGGAGUUCUUAUUUCACGCCGACCUCAUUUACUUUCCAUAUAGACCUCAACAAAAAAACUAGGGAUUACGAAUCAGGCAAAGUUUACGUUCCUCCGGAAUUUUAACGAAUGGAUGUCGAAGCCAAAGGGUUUAACCCGGGAUUGAUCGUCUUACUUCUAGUUGGCGGCCCGCUCUUGUUAUUCCUUGUUGGAAAUUAUGUACUCUACCUGUAUGCCCAGAAAACCGUUCCUCUGAAGAAGAAGAAGCCAAUCUCCAAGAAGAAAAUGAAGAAGGAAAGGCUGAAGCAAGGCGUUUCAGCACCAGGAGAAUAGAUUUUUGUUAGAAAGGGAUAGAAUGGGUUGUUUCCUUUCCAUGUUGAGCUGCAGUGUUGACAUUUCCGAUGUUGGAAACUUCGUAGAGAUUGUUACAAUGUUUUAGGACUCAUUCUCCCAUUAUGUUUCAUACAACUUAACUCGAUAAUUUAGAAAUCCUGUUGUUUUGCUAGCAGAUCGGAUGAAUGAAUGCUGUUUGUUUUGUUAUGUUAUCUGAUAUUGUGUCAAAGCUAUGUUGUUUGACUAG